CAGUAGCCGCGGUAAUACAGAGGGUGCGAGCGUUAAUCGGAUUUACUGGGAGUAAAGCGUGCGUAGGCGGCUUCUUAAGUCGGAUGUGAAAUCCCUGAGCUUAACUUAGGAAUUGCAUUCGAUACUGGGAAGCUAGAGUAUGGGAGAGGAUGGUAGAAUUCCAGGUGUAGCGGUGAAAUGCGUAGAGAUCUGGAGGAAUACCGAUGGCGAAGGCAGCCAUCUGGCCUAAUACUGACGCUGAGGUACGAAAGCAUGGGGAGCAAACAGGAUUAGAUACCCGCGUAGUCCCUGUCUCUUAUAC
rnacentral:rRNA from 1 species